rnacentral:misc_RNA from 1 species
AACCAUAGAAACCUGCGGAGUACCUGCGGAGGGAUCAUUACAAGUGACCCCGGUCUAACCACCGGGAUGUUCAUAACCCUUUGUUGUCCGACUCUGUUGCCUCCGGGGCGACCCUGCCUUCGGGCGGGGGCUCCGGGUGGACACUUCAAACUCUUGCGUAACUUUGCAGUCUGAGUAAACUUAAUUAAUAAAUUAAAACUUUUAGCAACGGAUCU